GGAACCAAUCUUGUUAUUAGUGCUAAGAGUAGUGUUUAGAUCAUGUUUAUUUGUGAUUCAUGACAUUGAUGUCUUAGAGUGGCAAUAGUAGUCAGCUAAGUGCUAGGUAAUUGCAUGCUUGGCAACGUGGCGUAGCGGCCGGAACAACAGCACAAAGAGUUAGUGUGUGCGCGUGAGUGGAUCGGCAAGCCAGGAGAUAAGUGCAUGAUGCAUUGCUAGUUUACUUAGUCAAGAGUCAUGUGUUUAGUUAGUGGCAGGCUACAUGCAUGGAUCAAGAUAGCCGAGCUGUGUGACCGUUGCGUGAGCCGUGAGGAUCGGUCUGCAAGUGCUAAACGUGUGGCUAGUUAGUGGAGUCAUUAGUGGAGCAUGUAGUUAAUGGGUGAGUGGCUGUGUCAGCCGUGUGUGGCUAUUUAAGCCAAUGUAAUCAUUCGAGUUUGCAAAUGAGAAGAAGAGAAAAGAUGUAGCCACGGUUGUACCAAGGGAGGUAGUCUGGGCAAAGCCUUUGUGUGCUCCUCCUUGGUGUAUGCGUGUGUGUGUUUGUCAGAUACAAGUGAGAUUGAGAGAUUGUGAGGGAGAAGAUGAUCAGGGAGCUGCAAGGUGCAGCUCCUACAUAUCACAAUUCACAAGCGCCAAAUGUACAGGUUCCAACUUCAUUACAAGGCAUUGUUAUUGUUUCA